rnacentral:sRNA from 1 species
GCGCAUUAGCGAUAGUAGCGGCAUCCUUUUUUAUGCGAUAAGUCAUUAAGCAUUAAAAAGAUAUAGCGAAAAGCGCGGUCCUUU